rnacentral:rRNA from 1 species
CCUACGGGAGGCAGCAGUAGGGAAUUUUCGUCAAUGGGCGCAAGCCUGAACGAGCAAUGCCGCGUGAACGAGGAAGGUCUUCGGAUCGUAAAGUUCUGUUGAAGGGGAAAAAGAGCGGAGAGAGGAAAUGGUCUCCGAUUGAUAUUACCCUUCGAGGAAGUCACGGCUAACUACGUGCCAGCAGCCGCGGUAAUACGUAGGUGGCGAGCGUUAUCCGGAAUGAUUGGGCGUAAAGGGUGCGUAGGCGGCCUGCUAAGUCUGGAGUGAAAGCCCGGGGCCCAACCCCAGGACUGCUCUUGGAACUG